AGAGUUUGAUCAUGGCUCAGAACGAACGCUGGCGGCGCGCCUAAUACAUGCAAGUCGAGCGAGAAGGUGUAGCAAUACACUUGUAAAGCGGCGAACGGGUGAGGAAUGCAUGGGUAACCUACCCUCGAGUGGGGAAUAACUAGCCGAAAGGUUAGCUAAUACCGCAUACGUUUCCGGGACUUCGGUUCCGGAAAGAAAGCAAUACCGUGGGUAUUGCGCUCAUGGAUGGGCUCAUGUCCUAUCAGCUUGUUGGUGAGGUAACGGCUCACCAAGGCUUCGACGGGUAGCUGGUCUGAGAGGACGAUCAGCCACACUGGCACUGCGACACGGGCCAGACUCCUACGGGAGGCAGCAGUAAGGAAUAUUGCGCAAUAGACGAAAGUCUGACGCAGCGACGCCGCGUGGGGGAUGAAGGUCUUCGGAUUGUAAACCCCUUUCGGGAGGGAAGAUGGAGUGGGUAACCACUUGGACGGUACCUCCAGAAGCAGCCACGGCUAACUUCGUGCCAGCAGCCGCGGUAAUACGAAGGUGGCAAGCGUUGUUCGGAUUCACUGGGCGUACAGGGAGCGUAGGCGGUUGGGUAAGCCCUCCGUGAAAUCUCCGGGCCUAACCCGGAAAGUGCAGAGGGGACUGCUCAGCUAGAGGAUGGGAGAGGAGCGCGGAAUUCCCGGUGUAGCGGUGAAAUGCGUAGAGAUCGGGAGGAAGGCCGGUGGCGAAGGCGGCGCUCUGGAACAUUUCUGACGCUGAGGCUCGAAAGCGUGGGGAGCAAACAGGAUUAGAUACCCCGGUAGUCCAA
rnacentral:rRNA from 1 species